rnacentral:lncRNA from 1 species
UAACAACAAAAGCAGAAUGUCAGCUGUCAGUACUGACUUUGAACUUCAGUAAUCAACGAUGCAAGCCUUUGUUCUACAAUGGUCAUGAUGUAUGAGGAAGACAUAGUGGAUGUCUGGAUUUCACAGCAAUCAUGGAACAUUUUUAAUAAAUCAUGCUGCAGUGACAAACUAAAAAGUUGAGAUUGUUGUUUGCGUAUUUAUGUGCCGUGAAGAUGGCUUCAAAGGGAGGGUUAUGGAGAAAGGAUACGUAUGGAAAAUACAGGGAUGUGGAUGUGGUAUUACAGAGAUAAGGAUGUAGUAAUACAGAGAUGAGGAUGUGGUAAUACAGAGAUGAGGAUGUGGUAUUACAGAGAUGAGGAUGUGUGAAGCUGUAGGGAAUGCAAGUAGGAAUCUAUAUAACAAGAAUUCCAGAAGGAAAGGGGCUGUAGGUCUGUGAAGGAUAUUGUUCUGAGAUGUAGUGUGUCCAUCAACAGAUUUAAUAGAUGAUUGUGAAGUAACAAUGAGACAGAAUGGCUACAAAACAUGGACUUCAGAAAGUCUUUAUUCUGUAUACUGUAAUAAGGGAACUAUAGUGGAUUUUUUGAUUGCAUGCCAAUGAUAGAAAACAUGUA